rnacentral:rRNA from 1 species
CCCUUAGAUGUUCUGGGCCGCACGCGCGCUACACUGAUGCAUUCAACGAGUUUCUUCCUGGUCCGAGAGGAAUGGGUAACCUUUUGAAAGUGCAUCGUGAUAGGGAUAGACUAUUGCAAUUAUUGGUCUUCAACGAGGAAUUCCUAGUAGACGUAGUUCAUCAGACUGCAUCGAUUACGUCCCUGCCCUUUGUACACACCGCCCGUCGCUCCUACCGAUUGAAUGCUCAGGUGAGCCAUUCGGACUUUCAUCAUGCUGGUUUCCAGUUUUGAUGAAGGAAAGUCUUGCGAACCUUAUCAUUUAGAGGAAGGAGAAGUCGUAAUA